UGCCAGCAUCCGCGGUUACACAUUUACCUAUAGUUUAAUUAAUAGGUUAGUGGUAUAUUAUGUUAGAGUAGAAAAAAAAAAAAUAAAAGUCURAUUUAUCAGAACUUUUUUUUUUCCUUAUACUCUUUUAAGUACCCCACGAGACUUUCAUAUAGGACUAGGAUUUGGUACCCUACUACUAAUAAGUGUAAAUAAAAAUACCAGGGUAUUACGAGCUGCUUGCUUAAAGCCUAAAAAGCUUGGCGGUCUUCUUUAAAACCAGGGGAGCUUGUCUUGUAAACGAUAAUCCGCGUUAUAUCUCACCUAUAAUUGAAAUCAGUUUGUAUACCCCCGUCUUGUUAACCACGAAAGUGUGAAAAAGUCAGCUAAAAAUAAUUUAAUUUUGACGUCAGGCCAAGGUGCAACCUAUAUAUAGGAAAAUGAUUAGCUACUUUAUACUUAAUAAAUAGAUAAAAAAAUAAAUAUUUUUUUUGAAAUAGUACUUGGUAGUAAUUAAAAAUUAAUAUAUUUUAAUGAAUAACCCUUAGAAGGUGCACAAAUCGCCCGUCGAUCCCCCUGGAUGGGGGAUAAGUCGUAACAUAGUA
rnacentral:rRNA from 1 species